CCUACGGGGUGCAGCAGUGAGGAAUAUUGGUCAAUGGACGAGAGUCUGAACCAGCCAAGUAGCGUGAAGGAUGACUGCCCUAUGGGUUGUAAACUUCUUUUAUAUGGGAAUAAAAUGUUCCACGUGUGGGAUUUUGUAUGUACCAUAUGAAUAAGGAUCGGCUAACUCCGUGCCAGCAGCCGCGGUAAUACGGAGGAUCCGAGCGUUAUCCGGAUUUAUUGGGUUUAAAGGGAGCGUGGUGGAUUGUUAAGUCAGUUGUGAAAGUUUGCGGCUCAACCGUAAAAUUGCAGUUGAAACUGGCAGUCUUGAGUACAGUAGAGGUGGGCGGAAUUCGUGGUGUAGCGGUGAAAUGCUUAGAUAUCACGAAGAACUCCGAUUGCGAAGGCAGUUCACUGGACUGCAACUGACACUGAGGCUCGAAAGUGUGGGUAUCAAACAGGAUUAGAUACCCGGGUAGUC
rnacentral:rRNA from 1 species